AGGUUGGGGAAAAAGCGUUCUGGACAGAGGAAGGUUGGGGAAAAAGCGUUCUGGACAGAGGAAGGUUGGGGAAAAAGCGUUCUGGACAGAGGAAGGUUGGGGAAAAAGCGUUCUGGACAGAGGAAGGUUGGGGAAAAAGCGUUCUGGACAGAGGAAGGUUGGGGAAAAAGCGUUCUGGACAGAGGAAGGUUGGGGAAAAAGCGUUCUGGACAGAGGAAGGUUGGGGAAAAAAGCGUUCUGGACAGAGGAAGGUUGGGGAAAAAGCGUUCUGGACAGAGGAAGGUUGGGGAAAAAGCGUUCUGGACAGAGGAAGGUUGGGGAAAAAGCGUUCUGGACAGAGGAAGGUUGGGGAAAAAGCGUUCUGGACAGAGGAA